AUUGAACGCUGGCGGCAGGCCUAACACAUGCAAGUCGAGCGGAUGAGUGGAGCUUGCUCCAUGAUUCAGCGGCGGACGGGUGAGUAAUGCCUAGGAAUCUGCCUGGUAGUGGGGGACAACGUUUCGAAGGGAACGCUAAUACCGCAUACGUCCUACGGGAGAAAGUGGGGGAUCUUCGGACCUCACGCUAUCAGAUGAGCCUAGGUCGGAUUAGCUAGUUGGUGAGGUAAAGGCUCACCAAGGCGACGAUCCGUAACUGGUCUGAGAGGAUGAUCAGUCACACUGGAACUGAGACACGGUCCAGACUCCUACGGGAGGCAGCAGUGGGGAAUAUUGGACAGUGGGCGAAAGCCUGAUCCAGCCAUGCCGCGUGUGUGAAGAAGGUCUUCGGAUUGUAAAGCACUUUAAGUUGGGAGGAAGGGCAGUAAGUUAAUACCUUGCUGUUUUGACGUUACCAACAGAAUAAGCACCGGCUAACUUCGUGCCAGCAGCCGCCGUAACAC
rnacentral:rRNA from 1 species